rnacentral:lncRNA from 1 species
UUUACACAGGAUGCAUAUAUAUUUUAUUUUGGGAAAUACAUUAAAAAUUGUUUCUUAGUCUAGGAUAUCUAUACAUAAUUCUGAAUAUGCAGAGUGCCCUUUUAAACUCAAGAAAUAUUUGUCAAAUGUACAAAAACAUUACAGAGAAACAUUUGUUAAUCAAAGCACAGUAAAUGGAUGCCAUUUUUCAACAGUUCAAAACAGUUUCCAAAAUAGUGCAAAUUUUAUUGCAUUAAACUUCCCAGCUCACUUAAUUCAUAAUUUAUUCACACAACAUCCUUUCAUCCUCAUUACAAUACAGUUUAUUUUAAGUUCCUAAAAGGAGUUCAAUGUGCUUCUAAAAAAACAGCAAACAAUCCCUUUUAUUUGCACCACUGAUGCAGACACUGAAAGACCAUCCAUUUCUCUCCUCGUAUGCAUUACAAUAUAUAGCACAGUGGAAUACAUAUCUGGAGUCAAUUCAACCAUUCAGUUUCAAGACUUAAAAGUUGCAGGGGUGUGUGUGUGUUUUUAAAAAGGUCCAUAAUGAACAGCUGAUAUACAGAAGGCAUUUUAAUGUUUUUAUUAGUUAAAAGAAAAAACCCUUUUGUUGAAAAUGUACAGUUAUGUGAAUAAGAUGACCUGCUUACCAUUUAAUCAAGUUAUCUGCAUUGAAAUAAUUGUUUAAUUAAAAGUUUUAAAAAGAUGAAACUAUUGAGUGGAUUCUUCAGUUACUUACAUUUUAACAAUUUAUUUUAAAAAUAUAAUUUCUAUGAUCUAAUUUAAUAUACAUUUCGAAAAUAUCCCCUAUGUUGCAGUUACUCAAGGAAAGCAGUAAACUCAAUGAAAGGUAUACUCUUUUAGCUGCAGCAAUACAAAAAGCGAUUAAUUCACAGUUAAAAUGGAAUAAAAAUUACUCAUUCACAAGUGCAACAUAGCUUGAGCUUAACCAAUGUGAAAUUCCACUAGGAACAAGGCUAAGUUACUUGCAAAACAAAUUAAUUUAGUUUGAAACACAUAUGCUUAAUAAAAUAUUUUCCAUUAAAAUUGUAUUGUCUAAACUGGAGUUAUAUAAAAUGUGAAGACAGGAUAUGACUAUAAGUAACACAGAGAUGCUUCUAGUAACAUGUAAAAGCUGGUACCUAUUACUAUGCCAAUACCACAGCCAUAUCAGUCUCCUAUAGCCACGGGGUUUUGGAAGAUCUUAUGUCUUGGUAAUGUGGCAGAAUAUAAAGAACUCUUUGUCACUCAAGAAUCCUGAUUUAAAGAAAACCAAAACCUGUAAGACUCCGUUUGAUGUUUUAAUUCUACAAAAAAACAGCUAUUUUGAUAAACCAGAACAUUAACUAUAGGUAACGUUUAUAGCUGGGUGAAAGGUGCAAUCUUCUCAGCAUAACUGACUGCAGUUCAAUACCUUUAAGGCAACAAUUCAAGGAAGCUUCUCUGGAAUAAUUACUAUUCCAACACAAACUUUCCGAGUUCUUGGGCUUACUUGAAAUUCAUUAACAUUUUACAUCCAUGUAUGUAAUCAGUUUGGUUUACACCCUCGCUUUGUGCACAUAUUGCAGGCUUUGAAGUUACUACUGAUCUGCAACCUUCUUCUUCAUGUUUAUAUGUGAGAAUUCCAAAAUGCACACAGAAGAGCCAUCUCCUGAGCACUGGCUGUUGAGCUACUAAAAAGAGCAUGUGGAGGUAAGAGCUUUGCGAGUGAGCAACAUGCAUCUUUUUCUGCUUAUGCUGAGAGGAAAACAGAACCAAGAUCAAGCUUAUCCCUCCUUCACAACACUUUGUCCAUGUCAUUCAUGCAUUAUGGAUCAGAUAAAUUUGGAUUACUAGGAGUGGAGCGUCCACUAAUUAUGAGCAUAGGUAGGUCAUUCCUAUGUAGCCCAAGAAGCGCAUGCUGUUUACUAGCACAGAAGAAUUUACUAUGCCUUCAGAAAGACAAAAGUGUUUGCAAUGCACUCACAAAAAACAUUUGUUUAUUUCUGGCCAGAUUUUUGACCAUGUGAGUAUUGAGCCAUGCUAUCAAUUUUAUGCCCUGCCCUUCUCUUUUGCACACUCACAGUUUUUUCAGCAUUCAAACUAGGGAAGCCUAUAUCUCAGAAAGUUUGUGUAGGAAAACGUGCAGUCUCUCUCUGUAGGAGACCCAAAAGACAACAGAAGAACAGGGAGUGCCAUCAUGCAUUUGUAAGGAGAGAAAGCAAGUAGGGAAAAAAUACUCAAUUCUUAAUUCCUUUCAAAUUUUUGUGAACUCCCCCCCCCCCCCCAAAAAGCAUCUCCCUAGGUGAAAAUUUAAUAAACAAACUGCUUUCAGAGAUCUUACUUUUCUUUUGAACUACAGAUUUUAUUCAAGAACCAGCUGAUUAGUUAGCUAUUAAAACUAGGCAUUAAAAAAAUCCACAUUAUAAAAAGUAAGCACUUUUGUCAUUCUAUAUUAAAGAAUUAAUUUCAGUAGGCAGAUUCAAGAUUUCAAGUAAUUACAUGCAGGACUUCUACCACUCUGAAAUCCAGGUACAUACAGAAGGAACAUAAGUUAAUUUGUAGUGUAUAGAAAUGCCAGUAUGAAGGAACAAAUCAAAGCAAGUGCAAUCCUGCA